ensembl:lncRNA
CCGGGAACGAGCUCACAAAGAGCACGCGCAUUUUUUGCGGUCUGGAGCUGUAGGAGAAACACAAAUUACCUCAGACACACAGACUGAUGCGACAAAACCACAUGUCUUUAUCCUGUUUUCCUUCUCUCACCCCAACUGGUCGCAGCAGAUGGCCGCCCCUCCUUGAGCCUGGUUCUGCCAGAGGUUUCUUCCUGUUAAAAGGGAGUUUUUCCUUCCCACUGUCGCCAAAGUGCUUGCUCAUAGGGGGUCAUUUGAUUGUUGGGCUUUUCUCUGUAUCUAUUAUUGUAGGAUCUACUGUACAAUAUAAAGUGCCUUGAGGCGACUGUUGUUGAGAUUUGGCGCUAUAUAAAUAAAAUUGAAUUGAAUUGAACUGCAUUAUUAC